rnacentral:rRNA from 1 species
UACGAAGGGGGGCUAGCGUUGCUCGGAAUGACUGGGCGUAAAGGGCGCGUAGGCGGAUGGCACAGUCAGAUGUGAAAUUCCCGGGCUUAACCUGGGGGCUGCAUUUGAUACGUGUUGUCUUGAGUUCGGAAGAGGGUCGUGGAAUUCCCAGUGUAGAGGUGAAAUUCGUAGAGACCCGGAGGAACACCAGUGGCGAAGGCGGCGUCCUGGCCUGCGACUGACGCUGUGGCGCGAAAGCUAGGGGAGCGAACGGG